rnacentral:misc_RNA from 1 species
CUUAUUUCCUUAGCUGCCAUCCAUUACUGGCUACUUCGUCAACUGGAUAUCAAAAAUGCAUUUUUACAUGGCAAGGUAGCUGAGGAAGUUUAUAUAGAGCAACCACCAGGUUUGUUGCUCAGGGGGAGUCUGAUUUGGUGUGUUGCCUGCGGCGUUCUUUACAUGGCUUGAAACAAUCUCUGAGAGCAUGGUUUGGACAGUUCAAUACUGUAGUCCAACAAUU